ensembl:snRNA U6 U6 spliceosomal RNA
UUUGCUUCAGCAGCACAUUAUAUUAACAUUGAUACAAUAUAGGGGAGAUUAGCCUGGCUCCCAUGCAAGAAUGAUAUGUGAAUUCAUGACAUUUCAUAUUUUUGU